GCCGGGGGUCGUGACGAGGGUAUUUCCCGUGCGAUGCCCUGAGGGAACACGGUCGCACCGUGGCUGCCCCCGCAACUGUAAGCAGCGAGUCCACGCACCCUGGCCACUGAGCACCGCUCGGGAAGGCCGCGAAGGAUGACGACCUGCCAGCCAGGAGACCUGCCGGUGAAACCAGUCGCGU
rfam:Pseudomonas pseudoalcaligenes KF707 = NBRC 110670 strain KF707 ctg1698, whole genome shotgun sequence.